rnacentral:rRNA from 1 species
GAUGAACGCUGGCGGCGUGCCUAAUACAUGCAAGUCGAGCGAACGGACGAGAAGCUUGCUUCUCUGAUGUUAGCGGCGGACGGGUGGGUAACACGUGGAUAACCUACCUAUAAGACUGGGAUAACUUCGGGAAACCGGAGCUAAUACCGGAUAAUAUUUUGAACCGCAUGGUUCAAAAGUGAAAGACGGUCUUGCUGUCACUUAUAGAUGGAUCCGCGCUGCAUUAGCUAGUUGGUAAGGUAACGGCUUACCAAGGCAACGAUGCAUAGCCGACCUGAGAGGGUGAUCGGCCACACUGGAACUGAGACACGGUCCAGACUCCUACGGGAGGCAGCAGUAGGGAAUCUUCCGCAAUGGGCGAAAGCCUGACGGAGCAACGCCGCGUGAGUGAUGAAGGUCUUCGGAUCGUAAACCUCUGUUAUUAGGGAAGAACAUAUGUGUAAGUAACUGUGCACAUCUUGACGGUACCUAAUCAGAAAGCCACGGCUAACUACGUG